rnacentral:lncRNA from 1 species
UCAUGAUUGGGAGGGUUAAGUCGAAGUCGAAGAGAGCAGCUUUCUCAAUUUCUUCGGCAAGAGAAGGUGGAGCAAAGGUGAAGGAGGUAGCUGCAAUGAGGGAGAGGGAUUUGAGGGUGGAAGAAGAGAGGGAAUGGAGUUGGGUUUUGUUGAUUUUGGGGAGUUUGAUUGGGAGGGAGAUUUGGGGGAUAUGGAGUUUGGGUCUGGUGGUGGUGGUGGAGGUGGUGGAGAUGAGGGGUUUGGAGGAG